ensembl:lncRNA
CUCAGCUUGCUGGCUGGGAGUCCGCUUUGACAGCCAGCUAACGGAUUUUUCGCAGUGCCUGCUGAGCUGGUUUGGGGAAGGAGUGGCACACAUAAGCACAUUUGUUUCUUGUGAUAGGACACCCUGCAACAGGGUCUCUAAGUAAACAGGGGCAUCCACGUACCGUCUCUCAAAACCCAAGGCAUGCUUAUGCAACGCUCAGUCCAUCUGUUGUUGAGAUCAUCUUAAUGGCUGUGACGGCUCCCCUGCCUGCAGCGCGGCGGAAUGGAAGUCCCUCUGCAUAAAUUAUCACAAAGCAAACCCAGGCUCAGUACUGUGAGCAGAGGAGGUCGUUAAAUUCCGCAAUUAAUCUGCUGUGCCACUGUCAAGGCUUGCCUGUAUUUGUGAGAUGUUUUUUGCUAAUGAGGAAAGUUUGUCUCCUGAGGAAUUUUUAAUUGAGACAACAAAGCAUCAUCUGGUGGCUGCGGGGAGAAGCGGCUCCCAGUUCUGCUGGGUGACCCGACCUUCCAUCACCGGGCACGGCUCCUCCAUGGGCACCACGCAUAGCUGGGACAUGACCCGUUUUGGAGCUCCCUGCCUGCCUGCAGAUGGAGUUACGCUGCCUGUAGCCCUGUCUGCAGGCUCAGGGUUCACACAACUCCCUGUCCAUCUCUGAUUCUUCCCACAGGAGAGCACUCGGGUCUCUGCUGGUACAGGCCCAAGUGCUGCUGGAAUUGCAGGGACAAAGUGCAGUGCUGAAAAGCUGUCUUAUAAAGUCUUUUUAAUUAUUCUCGAGGAUGAACUCUUACAGUUGUAAUAUCCUAACAUCAGAGAAGUUGUAUUAAUUUACCUGCUGUUAAACUCUGUGACCCUGCUGUGGGGAUGGGGAGACUCCGAGCUAUCGCUCUGAUGUCUGUCAUCUUAAACCCUGUUUUCCAGAGGGUGUGACAUGCUCAGCAGUCUUGCUAGCUCACACGCUUUGGGCUGAGAAAAAUCAGUUUCAGCCUCUUUUCUUCAGAACCAGACUGCUGUAUUCAAAGUGGUGGCACGUGUGUGCUUUGACCUCUUCCUUUCCCUGAAGUCAUCGUAAUAAGCGCCCGACAGUAAAACUGUCAGUAUGUAAAAGCAGUGAUUUCUCAUCAUAAUGGUCUGUUGUUUCCAACUCGGUCGCUUCUGUGGUACAAAAUCAAAAUGGUCCCAGGGAGGUUCGAAUGGAGCUGUGCGGCUGUGGCUGCAGUGACAGGAGCCCAUCUGCACCUCGUGGGGCCGUGUAACACAAGGAAACACAACACGUGCAGUGCUCCUUCACUUCCAAUUCAGCUGUGCCUUCAGUGGGCUUUGCUUAGUACUUUAUUUGGUCUAUGUUCAUUUGCUAACAAAGUUGUUUUCACAUCUGGAAGCACUGCCAAGUACAAAUCACAAAUCAAAAGAAGGGUGCA